GCCAGCCCCUGUAUAAUUGGUGUACAGGUGGAAGACGUUGAAUAGAUGGCUGGAAAUUAAAUUUUCCAUCCCCGAAAAGUCGAAAACAGGUUGAUAUAUCAGCUGUAUACAUUGAUAUACAGCCACAAUAUACGAUAUACAGGUAAAAAAAAAAGUGGAAGUACAGGUGAAAUGCAGAGAAUAUAAAGUUCGACGAAAUACAGGUUUCGAAAGGCCCAAAAUUGAUUGAACAUGGCUCGUAUACAGUGAUAUACGCAAAAUGUAUACCUUAAACAAUUCCCCAGCA
rnacentral:misc_RNA from 1 species